AUACGGAGGGUGCAAGCGUUGUUCGGAAUUACUGGGCGUAAAGCGCGCGUAGGCGGCUUUGUAAGUCGGAUGUGAAAGCCCUGGGCUCAACCCAUGAAUUGCAUUCGAUACUGCAGAACUAGAGUAUGGUAGAGGGAAGUGGAAUUUCCGGUGUAGCGGUGAAAUGCGUAGAUAUCGGAAGGAACACCAGUGACGAAGGCGACUUCCUGGGCCAAUACUGACGCUGAGGUGCGAAAGCGUGGGGAGCAAACAGGAUUAUAUACCCCUGUAGUCC
rnacentral:rRNA from 1 species